AGAGCUUUGUUGCAGAAGAAACAACGCAGACAUAUAAUGCAACAAGACAUGAACAUUGACGGGAACAGCCCAUGGCUUCGAUGUUAGUUGCAGAUGCACAGAGAUAGUGCUGAGGCCACCUCAGAGGGUCCUGCCAUUUCUGCUCAUUCGCUGCCAGUGGUACGUCCAAGACACAAGGAGCUGUAAAGAGCACAGGAAUAAAGAGCAGGAAUGGAUGCCAAGAGGAAGGAAAGUAGGCGGCACAGAAGAUGGGAAACAAAGCAAAAAACGUCUGGGCAACAUGGU
ensembl:lncRNA